rnacentral:rRNA from 1 species
CUACGGGAUGCAGCAGUGGGGAAUAUUGCGCAAUGGGCGAAAGCCUGACGCAGCAACGCCGUGUGAGGGAUGAAGGCUUUCGGGUCGUAAACCUCUGUCGGAAGGGAAGAACGGGCAUUGGUCUAAUAGGCCUUUGUUUUGACGGUACCUUUAGAGGAAGCACCGGCUAACUCCGUGCCAGCAGCCGCGGUAAUACGGAGGGUGCAAGCGUUAUUCGGAAUUACUGGGCGUAAAGCGCACGUAGGCCGUUUUGUAAGUCAGGGGUGAAAUCCCACGGCUCAACCGUGGAACUGACUUUGAACUGCAGGACUUGAAUCCUGGAGAGGGUGGCGGAAUUCCUGGUGUAGGAGUGAAAUCCGUAGAUAUCAGGAGGAACACCGGUGGCGAAGUCGGCCACCUGGACAGGUAUUGACGCUGAGGUGCGAAAGUGUGGGGAGCAAACAGGAUUAGAUACCCCAGUAGUC